GAUGAACGCUAGCGGCAGGCUUAACACAUGCAAGUCGAGGGGUAGAGGAAGCUUGCUUCCUUGAGACCGGCGCACGGGUGCGUAACGCGUAUGCAACCUACCUUUUACAGAGGGAUAGCCCAGAGAAAUUUGGAUUAAUACCUCAUAGUAUAUAGUCUUCGCAUGUUGACUAUAUUAAAGUUCCGACGGUAAAAGAUGGGCAUGCGUCCUAUUAGCUAGAUGGUAAGGUAACGGCUUACCAUGGCAACGAUAGGUAGGGGUCCUGAGAGGGGGAUCCCCCACACUGGAAAUGAGACACGGACCAGACUCCUACGGGAGGCAGCAGUGAGGAAUAUUGGACAAUGGGCGCAAGCCUGAUCCAGCCAUGCCGCGUGCAGGAAGAAGCAUCUAUGGUGUGUAAACUGCUUUUGUACAGGAAGAAGCACCCCGACGUGUCGGGACUUGACGGUACUGUAAGAAUAAGGAUCGGCUAACUCCGUGCCAGCCGCCGCGGUAAAAC
rnacentral:rRNA from 1 species